CUAGUAACGGCGAGUGAAGCGGGAACAGCUCAAAUUUGAAAUCUGGCCCUCGGGUCCGAGUUGUAAUUUGUAGAGGAUGCUUUUGGUGCGGUGCCUUCCGAGUUCCCUGGAACGGGACGCCUUAGAGGGUGAGAGCCCCGUACGGUUGGACGCCUAGCCUCUGUAAAGCUCCUUCGACGAGUCGAGUAGUUUGGGAAUGCUGCUCUAAAUGGGAGGUAUAUUUCUUCUAAAGCUAAAUACUGGCCAGAGACCGAUAGCGCACAAGUAGAGUGAUCGAAAGAUGAAAAGCACUUUGAAAAGAGGGUUAAAUAGCACGUGAAAUUGUUGAAAGGGAAGCGUUUAUCACCAGACUUUUUCUAGGGGGAUCAUCCGGUGUUCUCACCGGUGCACUUCCCCUAGUUGAGGCCAGCAUCGGUUUUCGGAGGGGGAUAAAAGUUUCGGGAAUGUGACUCCCCCGGGAGUGUUAUAGCCCGUUACAUAAUACCCUUCUGGGGACCGAGGUUCGCGCAUCUGCAAGGAUGCUGGCAUAAUGGUGAUCAACGACCCGUCUUGAAACACGGACCAAGGAGUCGAACAUUUAUGCGAGUGUUUGGGUGUCAAACCCUCACGCGUAAUGAAAGUGAACGGAGGUGAGAGCCCUUACGGGUGCAUCAUCGACCGAUCCUGAUGUCUUCGGAUGGAUUUGAGUAAGAGCAUAACUGUUCGGACCCGAAAGAUGGUGAACUAUGCGUGGAUAGGGUGAAGCCAGGAGAAAUCCUGGUGGAGGCUCGCAGCGGUUCUGACGUGCAAAUCGAUCGUCAAAUCUGCGCAUGGGGGCGAAAGACUAAUCGAACCAUCUA
rnacentral:rRNA from 1 species